rnacentral:rRNA from 1 species
UCGAGAAUUUUUCACAAUGGGCGAAAGCCUGAUGGGGCGACGCCGCGUGGGGGAUGAAUGGCUUCGGCCCGUAAACCCCUGUCAUUUGCGAUCAACCGUUAUUAUUUAAAAGAUGAUAACCUGAUAGUAGCGAAAGAGGAAGGGACGGCUAACUCUGUGCCAGCAGCCGCGGUAAUACAGAGGUCCCAAGCGUUGUUCGGAUUUACUGGGCGUAAAGGGUGCGUAGGUGGCGGUGUAAGUCGGAUGUGAAAUCUCCGAGCUCAACUCGGAAACUGCAUUGGAAACUACAUUGCUCGAGGGUUGGAGGGGGGACUGGAAUACUUGGUGUAGCAGUGAAAUGCGUAGAUAUCAAGUGGAACACCAGUGGCGAAGGCGAGUCCCUGGACAACUCCUGACACUGAGGCACGAAAGCUAGGGGAGCAAACA